rnacentral:lncRNA from 14 species
GAUACACAAGGAGCAGGGCUGUCAGAAGUUCAGAAAAUCACAUCUCGGAUUUUAUUCUGUUCGGGCUGGCUUGAGACAACCCAGUGCUCCAGGUUUUCUUUGAGCUGUGCUUCAUCUGAAACCUACUUACCUCAUCUCUCUUAUCCAAGGCAUGGAGCAGCUCCCAUUCUUGCAGGGCUGCUAGUUCAAAAGGAAAAUCUAUACACAGGAGAGGAGUCACCCCCGAAGUGACUAUACCCAGGCUGGGAACCAUAAAAUGGACAUCACCUCAGCACUUGCCAGCAGCUGUGCAAACUUCGGGGUGACCUUGCUGUCUCCUUGGGAGGUCAGAGCAAAGCAGCAGCGCCCUGCGGACCAUGGAGGAAGUCCUCAACAAGCCAAGCUGUCCCAGAGCCAAUUCCCUUUGCCUAGGCAGGGAGAGCAUCCUCCAUCCUGGCCCAAGCAGCUCCUCAGACGAUGCUCUGACAACCCAUAGACCCAAAUGCCAGUGACACAGAAGCUCAGCAGCACUCCUAACCCUGGCAAAAGCCAUGCCAGCUCAUGACUGCAGAAAUGAAAUGUUCAGAGAGCAGAAUGCAGCAACACAUCAUGUUCUGUGUCACAGCAAAAGCCAAAGAUUGAGGACUGUGCACUGAGCUGUCUUUAUCA